UCCCUGGAGGACUAGUGGUUAGGCCACUCACUUAGUACUCUCACUGCUGCGGCCCGGGUUCGAUUCCCGGCUAAGGAA